GUGCUCACUUCGGCAGCACAUAUACUAAAAUUGGAACAAUAUAGAGAUUAGCAUGCUCCCUGAGCAAGGAUGAUGUGCAAAUUCGUGAAGCAGUCCAUAUUUUU
ensembl:snRNA U6 U6 spliceosomal RNA